GCCGCUAUAGCUCAGUGGCAGAGCACUGGUCUUGUAAACCAGGGGUCGUGAGUUCGAUCCUCACUGGCGGCU
rfam:Ixodes scapularis strain Wikel colony gcontig_1108379849060, whole genome shotgun sequence.